rnacentral:rRNA from 1 species
UUUAACUGAAGAGUUUGAUCAUGGCUCAGAUUGAACGCUGGCGGCAGGCUUAACACAUGCAAGUCGAGCGGGGGAAGGUAGCUUGCUACUGGACCUAGCGGCGGACGGGUGAGUAAUGCUUAGGAAUCUGCCUA